rnacentral:misc_RNA from 1 species
GGAUUCCAGCUCCUAGAUUUGUACUGGAAGAAUGAACACCGCCUGAUGUGCACAUCCGAGGUCUGCACAUCCGAGGAGAUGAUCCGUUACGAGAAAUCUAUCUACAAAGCUCAAAGAAAUUUCGUUCUUUGCAUCGGGACAUGUUUCCUUUACUGGUAUAUAUACCGUGCUUGCCAGUACCACAAGCAGAUCAAAGAGUUGGAAGAAAUUGAGAAGCG